CAAGACAGGUCUAUAAGAAGGUAAACAAACCUGCAGUCAAAUCCUUGUGGUUGCCAGAUUUGUUUGCAACCGAAUAUUUAUUGUUAAAAGAGUUGUUAUUUUGAUUGCAUUUCUGUGCGAGUCUGUAUCAGGCCCAUGGCAAGCCACCUGUAUUUGUGACUUUAUUAUAUAUCGAGAGAAACAGUUGAACGUGAUUGGCACAAAACAAACACAACUUUACAUGGCUUAUACGGUUGCUACACUGAAAAUCAUUCCCACGCUCAUGCCAAAUGCUCUUUACGCAUGAAUGCUAAUAAACAAACCCAAUCAUUUUUUCAUGUCAAUCCAUAUCGGUUUUUGAUGGAGUCCACGCUAUUUUGGUGUAUUUUGGCAUUCAACGUGUUUUGUCAUUGUAAUCUGAUUGUUAUGAUAGAUAUAAGUACAGAUGUAAAUGAAAUCCAAUUCGCAGUAACGUGUCGAAUUUUUAUAGUGUUGUGUGUGUAGAUGAAAAGUCACUUAUCUUUAUGGGGCCGUUCAAUAAUUACGUAAGCAUAUUUUUCCACUUUUUCUACUUUUUCUGGUGAUUCUGAAAAUAUACCAUCAGACCAAAAAAACGAUAUUGCAUCUUUCACACCAGUUUGGACUAAAGAUACUCAGAGAGAGAGAGAGAGAUAAGUGAUGAAAAAAACCGCCUAUUUGGCAACUAGGUUUCACAUGUCAGAGGUGCCAGAUCUCUUCUCAAAGUGCAAUGAUGACAAACUUUUUCAUUCGACUCGUAUACCCAGGCCUUAGACGCGCCCAUUCUUUUGUACUGGGUGUUAUGUGACUUUUUUGUGGCUCCAUUUCCAUUGCGAACCCACCGUGCUUCCAAUAUUUUGCUUGUUAUUUUUCGGUUAUAGAAAAGUUGCGUUUUUUCAUAAACCUGCGUAUAACUGAUUGUGACGGUGGAAGUCCUCAGGAAUAAUAAAGUGCAUCACAAAAACCGUGAAAGUGUUAAGUUUUAUGUUUAUCUUAAUUUUUAUAUACUUUCAACAUAUUUGAAUAUUAUUUUGUUUACCAUACGAGAGGUUUGUAAGCCACCAGUUAAAAAUCACUGUGAUAAACCAAUUUUGGAGCAUCCCCAAUUCAUUGUUUAGCAAUUGAACAUAAAAAACGUGUUAAAAUAAAUAUAUUCUUCAUUGUAUCUGAUUGCAAAAACUUCAAUGUGUUACCUUUCUUGUUCGUUUGGCUCGGAUUUUGACAUGUUCGUUUGGCUCACAAAAUAACUCUUCGCAUAUCUCUCCCUCUGAGUAUAGCUAGCCUGCACAUACACUGAUUUAAACGGUUUGAAUUAGGCAUGUCAUGUGAAUUUGAUUAAUGUAUUCACGUUACGUGAAAAAAUGUUUCCACACCCAAUUAAUAUUUCUAUAGUUGGAGACCAUCCUAGAAAACACACUAAAUCGGUAGCCGCUCAUCAGCCGACUAUUACCCGCAUAAUCAAUAACCAUAAAACGUGUAUAACAACUAGUUUGGGAUAUAGUCACGACUGUAUGGGUUAUCAUGUAACCGAUAAUCAUGUUAUCAUGGUUAUCAUCCGUUUUUGGUUAUUGAUAAUGCGGGAAGGCGUUUACGUCUUCACACGAGCUCAAAUGCAGGGGACUAUAAACGUCAACAUUUUGCCUACCAAUCAUCAAUUCAUCACGGCGUCAAUAUUUCACUUCAAAUGCUUACAUAACCUAUCUUAUUCUUUGAAAGUGCACAUUGUACUGUAAACAAAUGUUGAGUUCUUGUUUUCCCAUCUAAAACAAUAUUUAUUCGAAAUAAAGUUUACCGAAAAUUUAGAACGUUUACUCUAUUUCACUAGUUUUAGGGCAAACCAACCAAAAAGUGGGAACCAGGAACGCUGGUACCAGGCUCAAUCAGUGGUAGAUGGAAAAUGUAUGGAGUUUGACAGCCACACGAGCCUCUUGCUCAAAUGUCAAAUUUCAUAUUCAUCAAGUACACUAUUCGAUUCAUAACUACACUUUCUGAAUAUUUUUGUAAAAUCAUAUUACACUUGAGUCGCUUUUUCAUGGGAGAUACGUGCCGCGUAAAUUCCAGAAUCUGCGUAAAAUAACUGCGUAAAUUUCGGAUUAUACACACUUAAUUUAUCUCGCCAAACUUCCCAACAGCUGAUGGACCUCGGCGAAAUGUUCAACAUAUGUCAUCAGUACAUUUCAACGAACAUUCAGCAAAUAUAUCGAUCUACCGUAAACCAGCGGGUAAUCAAUUCCAUUUGCCAAUGUUCUUGAAAAUUUCGCCGAAAACUUGUGGAACAUUUCGCUGAACUUAUCAGUUGUUGAGUUCUCGGCAAAGAAAUAUAACUGUGUUCUUCUUAAUAUAACCAAAAAGCUAUUCAACCGGAAUAUAGAAUGGAGCAUACGCAGGCGGAGACACAACAUGUAUUUUCAAACUGCACAAAUAUCCAACAAUUGCUAAAUUUAAAUAAAUGCGUGCUCCGUUUAUAACCCACACUGAGUGAUAUCUUGUGAUAUCCAAAGUUGAAUAAUAUGACGCCAUGUCAAAAUUUUCCAUAGAUACAAUUAUUCCAGUCGAAGGGUCUUUUUCAAUAUCUUAAUCGUUUGUUCUUGUUACAUUCUGAAUCACUAAUUCUUUUUUUAAAAGAUCUUAUGUAAAAAAAUAUCGUUGAUUGAAUUUCACUAUGAAAUUAAAAAAUCGAUCGCUUGAUUCUAAAACCAACAGCACGAUUUCUUACAGUCAUAACGGAUUUGGUAGCUGCGGUUGUCAUUUGCGGAUCUGCCACCGCCGACCGAUUCUAAUUUUUUACCGCGCAGGCAAUAACUAAUGAUAUAAAAAUUAUGCAUGUACAUAAGUUGUAACUUAUAAAAUUCUUAAGCGUUUUUCUCUAAGUGUAUGCUACGCUGUUUUUCCUGUUAACUGCCAACACUGGAUUCACUUUUCAGUGUACUCAUACACCCUGCUUUUAUGUCAUCUUGUAAACAAUUGUAUACAUGGACUUCUAUCCUUUCUAUUACCGCAACCGAAUGAUUCAUGUUUUUGAGUCAAUAAUUCUAUUUUGUCAAAGAAGAUACAACACACAAGAUAACCUGCCGGCUCGAAACAAGAUUCUUUGAUUGUGACUAGUGAUCAGAUAACACUAUAAUGAAGGAACCCUAUGAAAUGCUCAGAUGCUGUCGAUUCAAAAAUUACCCACAAGAAGUUUCCUAUUGGGGUGCAAUCCGAGGAAGCAGUACAGAAGCAGCCAGCAGCUACACUGUCAUCAUCUUGGAAGGAUGAGCUGCCGGUCGUUGACCUACAGUUCAAUUAGGUUCUUUCGGCUGCAGUUUGAAAAACUAGAGAAAACUCGCAGCAAAGAGUUGCAGGUUACUCGGGAAGCGUUAAAUUUCAUGUGGCGGUGUCGGGCGGAACCUUUUCGCUUCUCGUUAGGAAUAAAUUGCAGAUUUUAAAAAUUUCUGCGAAACAUA